rnacentral:rRNA from 1 species
CACGUAGGGGGCAAGCGUUGUCCGGAUUUAUUGGGCGUAAAGAGCUCGUAGGUGGUUCGGUAAGUCGGGUGUUAAACCCCCAGGCUCAACCUGGGGACGCCACUCGAUACUGCUGUGACUAGAGUCCGGUAGGGGAGCGUGGAAUUCCUGGUGUAGCGGUGAAAUGCGCAGAUAUCAGGAGGAACACCAGCGGCGAAGGCGGCGCUCUGGGCCGGUACUGACACUGAGGAGCGAAAGCUAGGGGAGCAAACAGG